rnacentral:rRNA from 1 species
UACAGAGGGAGCGAGCGUUAUCCGGAAUGAUUGGGCGUAAAGCGUCUGUAGGUGGUUUAGCAAGUCUACUGUCAAAUACCAAGGCUCAACCUUGGGCAGGCAGUAGAGUACUUUUAGACUAGAGUGUGGUAGAGGUAGAGGGAAUCCCUAGCGUAACAGUGAAAUGUGUAGAUUUUAGGGAGAACACCAGCGGCGAAGGCGCUCUACUGGGCCAAGACUGACACUGAGAGACGAAAGCUAGGGGAGCGAAUAGG